CCUACGGGAGGCAGCAGUGGGGAAUUUUGGACAAUGGGCGAAAGCCUGAUCCAGCCAUUCCGCGUGCAGGAUGAAGGCCCUCGGGUUGUAAACUGCUUUUGUACAGAACGAAAAGGUUUCUACUAAUACUUAGGAGCUCAUGACGGUAACUGUAAGAAUAAGCACCGGCUAACUACGUGCCAGCAGCCGCGGUAAUACGUAGGGUGCAAGCGUUAAUCGGAAUUACUGGGCGUAAAGCGUGCGCAGGCGGUUAUAUAAGUCAGAUGUGAAAUCCCCGGGCUCAACCUGGGAACUGCAUUUGAGACUGUAUAGCUAGAGUACGGUAGAGGGGGAUGGAAUUCCGCGUGUAGCAGUGAAAUGCGUAGAUAUGCGGAGGAACACCGGAUGGCGAAGGCAAUCCCCCUGGACCUGUACUGACGCUCAUGCACGAAAGCGUGGGGAGCAAACAGGAUUAGAUACCCUGGUAGUCCACGCCCUAAACGAUGUCAACUGGUUGUUGGUACUUACUGACUCAGUACGAAGACGACGCGUGAGUAGACCGCCGNGGGAGGUAACGGUCCGCGAGGUUAGUAACGUUACGAAGAAGUUAGACGGCGNGAGACGNGCGACGGACGACGACGAGGGAGGAGG
rnacentral:rRNA from 1 species